rnacentral:rRNA from 1 species
GGGCCCGCACAAGCGGUGGAGCAUGUGGUUUAAUUCGAUGCAACGCGAAGAACCUUACCUGGUCUUGACAUACACAGAAUCUUGUAGAGAUACGAGAGUGCCUUCGGGAAUUGUGAUACAGGUGCUGCAUGGCUGUCGUCAGCUCGUGUCGUGAGAUGUUGGGUUAAGUCCCGCAACGAGCGCAACCCUUGUCCUUAGUUACCAGCGGGUUAAGCCGGGAACUCUAAGGAUACUGCCAGUGACAAACUGGAGGAAGGCGGGGACGACGUCAAGUCAUCAUGGCCCUUACGACCAGGGCUACACACGUGCUACAAUGGUAGGUACAGAGGGCAGCUACACAGCGAUGUGAUGCGAAUCUCAAAAAGAAUGUCGUAGUCCGGAUUGGAGUCUGCAACUCGACUCCAUGAAGUCGGAAUCGCUAGUAAUCG